UACGGAGGGUGCGAGCGUUGUUCGGAAUCACUGGGCGGAAAGCGCGUGUAGGCGGCCUUGUAAGUUUGGUGUGAAAGCCCGGGGCUUACCCCCGGAAGUGCACUGGAUACUGCGAGGCUAGAGUACCGGAGAGGAAAGUGGAAUUCCUGGUGUAGCGGUGAAAUGCGUAGAUAUCAGGAGGAACACCGGUGGCGAAGGCGGCUUUCUGGACGGAUACUGACGCUGAGACGCGAAAGCGUGGGGAGCAAACAGG
rnacentral:rRNA from 1 species